rnacentral:rRNA from 1 species
UACGUAGGUGGCGAGCGUUAUCCGGAAUGAUUGGGCGUAAAGGGUGCGUAGGCGGCCUGCUAAGUCUGGAGUGAAAGGUACCGGCUCAACCGGUACAGGCUCUGGAAACUGGCGGGCUGGAGUUGGAGAGAAGUACGCGGAAUGCGCGGUGUAGCGGUGAAAUGCUUAGAUAUCGCGCAGAACCCCGAUUGCGAAGGCAGCGUACCGGCUCCACACUGACGCUGAGGCACGAAAGCGUGGGUAUCGAACAGG